GUACUUGCUUGGGCAGCACAGAUAUUAAAAUUGGAAUGAUACAUAGAAGAUUAAAAUGACCUUUUCAUGAGGAUGACAUGUGAAUUUGUGAAGUGUUUCAUAUUUUU
ensembl:snRNA U6 U6 spliceosomal RNA